rnacentral:rRNA from 1 species
UACGAAGGGGGCUAGCGUUGCUCGGAAUCACUGGGCGUAAAGCGCACGUAGGCGGCUUUCUAAGUCAGGGGUGAAAUCCUGGAGCUCAACUCCAGAACUGCCUUUGAUACUGGAGAGCUAGAGUCCGGAAGAGGUGAGUGGAACUGCGAGUGUAGAGGUGAAAUUCGUAGAUAUUCGCAGGAACACCAGUGGCGAAGGCGGCUCACUGGUCCGGUACUGACGCUGAGGUGCGAAAGCGUGGGGAGCAAACAGG